GACGAACGCUGGCGGCGUGCUUAACACAUGCAAGUCGAACGGAAAGGCCCUGCUUUUGUGGGGUGCUCGAGUGGCGAACGGGUGAGUAACACGUGAGUAACCUGCCCUUGACUUUGGGAUAACUUCAGGAAACUGGGGCUAAUACCGGAUAGGAGCUCCUGCUGCAUGGUGGGGGUUGGAAAGUUUCGGCGGUUGGGGAUGGACUCGCGGCUUAUCAGCUUGUUGGUGGGGUAGUGGCUUACCCAGGCUUUGAUGGGUAGCCGGCCUGAGAGGGUGAACGGCCACAUUGGGACUGAGAGACGGACCAGACUGCUACGGGAGGCAGCAGUGGGGAAUAUUGCACAAUGGGCGGAAGCGUGAUGCAGCAACGCCGCGUGCGGGAUGACGGCCUUCGGGUUGUAAACCGCUUUCGGCUGUGACGAAGCGUGAGUGACGGUAAUGGGUAAAGAAGCACCGGCUAACUACGUG
rnacentral:rRNA from 1 species